rnacentral:lncRNA from 10 species
AUGUGCCGCACAAGGUUUUCCCCAUCUGGGAUCGGGGAGCAACUGAAGGCCUGGCUGCUGGAAUGCUCCUGAAACACAUUAGGAAUCUGAAGAGAAGAUGGCAAAAGAGUCUGAGAGGCAGUGGCCAGAAGGAGAAGGAAAGCAGGUGGAUGUGAAGAAAGUGUUCAACGUGGAGGGAGGAACCAGCCAUGUCAAAUGAUGCUGACAGCCAGGCAAGAUGAGGACCAAGAAAUGUCCACUGCAUUUAGCAAAAUGAGGACAUUGGUGACCUUGACAAGAACAGUGUCAGGGAUGACAGUGUGAUUGGGGUGGAUUCAAGGGAGAAUGGGAGGAGAGAAUUUGGAGAUGAUGAGUCCAGACAAUCAUUUUGGAAGUGGUAAGAACUGGGGCCAUUCUCCUGGGGGAGGAAGUGGGGUCAAGACAAGGUAUCUUUACAUGGGAGAGAUGGCAACAUGGUAGCAUGCUGCUAGGAGAGACCCCAUAGAGAGGGAAAGAUUGAUGGUGCAAGGGACAGAAGGGAGACACUGGAGCGAUGUCCUUGAGCAGCCAGGAGGGCAUGGGAUGAAUGUUGCAGGGGGAGGGGCUGGCCUGAGCCAUGGCGUGAAAAGUUCAUCCACAGAACAGGAGAGGGACAGACACAAAACGCGGGCAUGCGGUGAGGCAGCGGGUGAGGUGGGGACAGAUGCUCGUGAGCAUCUCUUCUGAUUGCUUUUAUCUUCUUCGUGAAGUAGGAAGCUGAGGCAUCACCCGAGAAGAAGGCUCAGCGAGUCCGUGUAAGGCAAGCGGGACUGUAAGCUCCAUGAGGACAGGAACCUUGUCUCUUGUUCGCCAUCGCCCCGCUGUGUGAGCACAGUGCUAGGGAUGUACUAGGUGUUCAAAAGGCAUAUAUUGGAUGAUGAGCUAAUGAAUGGCAAAAUGGGCAGAUUAUCACAGUACCUGAAACCACAGGACCUCACCCUAAAUGGGCACAGGCCAGAUGCCCAGUGCUUUUUUUUUUUUUUUUUUUUUGAGAUGUGGUCUCACUCUGUUGCUCAGCCUGGAGUGCAGUGGCGCAAUCACCAACCACUGCAGCCUCGACUUCCUGGGUUCAGGCAAUCCUCCCACCUCAGCUUCCUGAGCAGCUGGGACUACAGGUGUGCACCACCACACCCAGCUAAUUUUUGUACUUUUUGUAGAGACAGGGCUUUGCCAUGUUGCCCAGGCUGUUAUCGAAUUCCUGUGCUCAAGUGAUCCACCCACCUCCACCUCCAAAAAUGCUGGGAUUACAGGCGUGAGCCACCAUGCCUAGCCUGCCCGGUGCUAUUCUGAUUCAUACACUUAUAUUUAUAGCCAUCAAAUCUCAGGGCUUCCUUGGGUCCCUGGGCGACCUCUGGCCAGUCUCUUUCCUGCUCUUGCCUCUCUCACCGAGCUUAGAAGAGGCUAGGCUUAGGGCUUCUUGUAAAAUGACCAGCUUUCUCUAAUUGAAGACCAGGGUACCCUAUCACAUUUGUAUCUAUUCUUUGCUCUUUUUCUCUUUCCUAGUGACCCUCAUGUUGUCAUAUUUGUUGCCAAGCUCACUAAGGAGGGCACCACGGGACCAGGGUUGUCACCUCUAGGCAGAGGGGAAGCUUGAAAAUGACAACACAUGGCCCUAGGAUGUUCAUAGGCACCAUCACAAUUCAACUGCUUCCUCAAGGCCCAGGGAAUAUUUUUCUUUGCAAACUACUAGUAUUCUAUCAGUAUGACUAGUAGUUUAAAUUGUUUGGAAUCUUCUGGUCCAAGGCAGAGCUGUGGGGCUGUGGAGGCAAAGUCCUGCCUGAAAUGGGACCCCCUGCAGGGUGCCUGAAGUCUAAGGGUCUGGGUCCUCAGCCACGGAUCACACAGCCUGGAGCCUGUGAGUGGGGAGCCCCUGCCACACUUCCCUCAGCCAGAAUCCUAAACCCGCAGGAGUCCCGGGGCUCUGCGACACUCUCUAGCCCAACUCUCUUCAACACCAAACCCCUUAUGCAUCUGUCAGAUGGUCCUUCAACUUCUGGGUGAAGUGCCGGUUUAAAAGUGAACUGCCAGAGAAGCAGUCGCUCCAGAUGUCUUCAAAGGCCAGUGUCUGUAACCCCAUCUGUUCUUACCUCAAAGGCCAGGCUCCCAUCCAUCAUGAUGGGGAGAGGUGGGAAAGGGCUGGCUGGUCCUGUCAACUCCGAUAAACAGGUGAAACACUGGCCAGGUGUU